CCUGCGAAUGGUUUCGUUAGUGGAAAAGAAGGACUACAUUGCUAUUUUUUUGUUUUCUUCGACCAAAGUGUACCACGUUACUAAUAUGUAUUUCAAAUCAUGUUUGUUUCAAGGAUAAAUGCCUAUAAAUGCCAUAUAAUGAACUUUUUAUUAAGGAAGCGGUCAUUAAUUAUUAGGGGGGGAGGGCCGGUAAAAUAUCUAAAACGAGGGCCAAAAAUGUUGACCCCCUUUCAAAUUAGCGCCCAAAAAUUUUAGCCCCCCACAAAAUAAUAGCCCAGAAAAUUGUGACCCUCCCCUUCCUUAGAUAGCUUCCUUCCAAUCGGUCAAGCCGCCGAUCAAACAGCGACAUAAUUUCGUGAAUAAAAUACGGCUAUAUAGUAUAAAACACUCCUAUACAUGCAUUAAAUAGUACAUCAUUUGAAAUCUUUAUGUAAAUUAGUCUAUAGCACUGGCUCGUCCCUUCCAUGUCCGGCAAACUCUACCAGAUCUUGUGGUCUGCAAAAGGUCGGAAAUGUUUUCUUCCUCCUCGUCCUCUUCUCCCGCAUCACCUUCAUAAAUUUGUCCUUCAUCGUCGUCGGAAUCAAUAUCAUCCUCAUCACUUCCAAUCUCCUGCACGACAACAUCGUCGUCACCAGAAUCCUGGUCGUUACUAUCUCUGUCAUUAUCAGAAAGUUGACGGUUAUCAGGGACUACGGUUCACUAGUCCGAAGGUUCACUAGUCCGAAGGUUCACCAGUCCGAAGGUUCACUAGUCCGAAGGUUCACCAGUCCGAAGGUUCACCAGUCCGAAGGUUCACUAGUCCGAAGGUUCACCAGUCCGAAGGUUCACUAGUCCGAAGGUUCACCAGUCCGAAGGUUCACUAGUCCGAAGGUUCACUAGUCCAAAGGUUCACUAGUCCGAAGGUUCACUACUCCGAAGUUUCACUACUCCGAAUGUUCACUAGUCCAAAACAUACGCUGGUUUUGAAUUGCAAUUACGUG